rnacentral:rRNA from 1 species
CUACGGGGGGCUCCAGUGGGGAAUAUUGCACAAUGGACGAAAGUCUGAUGCAGCAACGCCGCGUGGAGGAUGACACUUUUCGGAGCGUAAACUCCUUUUAUAUAGGAAGAUAAUGACGGUACUAUAUGAAUAAGCACCGGCUAACUCCGUGCCAGCAGCCGCGGUAAUACGGAGGGUGCAAGCGUUACUCGGAAUCACUGGGCGUAAAGAGCGUGUAGGCGGAUAGAUAAGUCAGGAGUGAAAUCCUAUGGCUCAACCAUAGAACUGCUCUUGAAACUGUCUAUCUAGAAUAUGGGAGAGGUAGAUGGAAUUUCUGGUGUAGGGGUAAAAUCCGUAGAGAUCAGAAGGAAUACCGAUUGCGAAGGCGAUCUACUGGAACAUUAUUGACGCUGAGACGCGAAAGCGUGGGGAGCAAACAGGAUUAGAUACCCCAGUAGUC